rnacentral:rRNA from 1 species
CUCAGGAUGAACGCUAGCGGCAGGCUUAACACAUGCAAGUCGAGGGGUAACAGGGUGCUUGCACCGCUGACGACCGGCGCACGGGUGCGUAACGCGUAUAGAAUCUGCCUUUUACAGGAGAAUAGCCUUUAGAAAUGAAGAUUAAUGCUCCAUAGUAUUGCGACUUGGCAUCAAGUUGUAAUUAAAGAUUUAUCGGUAAAAGAUGACUAUGCGUCCUAUUAGCUAGAUGGUAAGGUAACGGCUUACCAUGGCAACGAUAGGUAGGGGUCCUGAGAGGGAGAUCCCCCACACUGGUACUGAGACACGGACCAGACUCCUACGGGAGGCAGCAGUGAGGAAUAUUGGGCAAUGGAGGUAACUCUGACCCAGCCAUGCCGCGUGCAGGAAGACUGCCCUAUGGGUUGUAAACUGCUUUUAUACAGGAAGAAACACUCGUACGUGUACGAGCUUGACGGUACUGUAAGAAUAAGGACCGGCUAACUCCGUGCCAGCAGCCGCGGUAAUACGGAGGGUCCGAGCGUUAUCCGGAAUCAUUGGGUUUAAAGGGUCCGCAGGCGGUCAAUUAAGUCAGAGGUGAAAUCCCAUAGCUUAACUAUGGAACUGCCUUUGAUACUGGUUGACUUGAGUCAUAUGGAAGUAGAUAGAAUGUGUAGUGUAGCGGUGAAAUGCAUAGAUAUUACACAGAAUACCGAUUGCGAAGGCAGUCUACUACGUAUGUACUGACGCUGAGGGACGAAAGCGUGGGGAGCGAACAGGAUUAGAUACCCUGGUAGUCCACGCCGUAAACGAUGGAUACUAGUUGUUGGGCAUUAGCUCAGUGACUAAGCGAAAGUGAU